CUCAGAUUACUCUCUGGUAAUACUGUUCGAUGCCUGUGAGUCUUCUGUAGUCCUCUACCAUUUUUCAUGUGAUCGUCCAUUGGAUUUUUCACACACCAAGAUUUGUGCACGACGAUCAUUGUCUUAAAUUCUUCGACUAGAACGUAUACUUGAACAUGCUUCAAAGACUAGCUGGGAUUUUAGGACAUACAAAACAAGGGGUCCACUUGCUAAAUACAUCUCGUUACAACAAUGCUGCUAGUAAUGGAUAUCGUGCAGCAGGACAAUGGGCUCGCAAUGUUAAUGGCGGGGUCGGCAACAAUUUGCAAAAGCCCGACUGGCAGUACGAAAAUCUAAAACCACUAAAGAAAGACUUCUAUAACAUACAUCCAAAUGUACUGGCACGUAGUGCCCAGGAGAUUGAAUUGUACAGACAGAAGAAGCAGAUUACUGUAAAGGGUGACAAAGUUCCCGAUCCUAUCCAGUACUUUGAGGAGGGUAACUUUCCUGAAAAUAUUAUGAAUGCCAUGAUCAACAAGUUUGGCUUCCAAGAGCCGACUGCGAUUCAAGCUCAAGGUUGGCCGAUUGCUAUGUCUGGGUACAACAUGGUAGGCAUAGGGCAAACAGGCUCGGGAAAGACUCUAGGUUACAUUUUGCCCGCCAUUGUGCACAUUAACGCUCAAGAACGCUUGAAUCAUGGUGAUGGCCCGAUCGCGUUAAUUCUCGCCCCGACCAGAGAGCUCGCACAACAGAUUCAAUCAGUGACGACCGAUUUCGGUUCUUUGUCGUAUGUGAGAAGCACCUGUAUCUUCGGUGGUGCGCCCAGGGGUGGUCAAGCGCGCGAUCUACGUCGUGGUGUAGAGAUUUGUAUUGCUACACCUGGGCGUCUGAUCGAUUUCCUAGAACAGGGCACGACCAACCUGCGAAGGUGUACGUACUUGGUGCUGGACGAAGCUGAUCGUAUGCUGGACAUGGGCUUCGAGCCUCAAAUUCGCAAGAUUAUCGAGCAAAUUAGGCCAGAUCGGCAGGUUCUCAUGUGGUCUGCCACGUGGCCGAAAGAGGUGCGCACUCUCGCGAAAGAAUAUCUAAAGAACUAUGUUCAACUGAACAUUGGGUCGCUGACGUUAGCUGCCAAUCAUGAUAUUCUUCAAAUUGUCGAAGUCUGCGAGGAAUACGAGAAGGAAGCCAAAUUGAAGACUUUACUGGAAAAUAUCCACGAUGCUAACGAGGAUAGUAGCAAGAUUAUAAUUUUUGUAGAAACAAAGAAAAAGGUGGAGAGCAUUACGAGAAGUAUCCGUCGUUUUGGUUGGCCUGCGGUAUGCAUUCAUGGCGACAAGUCGCAACAUGAGAGAGAUUUUGUCCUUAGAGAAUUCAGAAAUAAGAAAAGUUCCAUUCUUGUUGCAACUGACGUUGCUGCUCGUGGUCUUGAGGCACAUGGUGCACAAAUAGCGUUGGGUGUGCGAUGAAUACGAAGUGAAAAAAAGAAAAGAAAAAAGAAAACGAAAAGAACAUUGCUCACUCGUGCUAUACACACGCGCAACUCUGUUUCGCGCAUAAAUGUGCCUCUGUAUUAGUCCGUGUUUGGAUGCUUGUGAUAUGACUGAAACACAUCGCACUUUACAGGAGAUACAUUACAGAUGUCGACGAUGUGAAGUAUGUAAUCAACUUCGAUUAUCCAUCCUCGUCCGAAGAUUAUAUCCAUAGGAUCGGCAGAACUGGCCGCUCAGGAAACACGGGGACAAGUUAUGCCUUAUUCACGCCGCAAAAUGCCCGUCAAGCGAGAGAUUUGAUAAACGUGCUCAAAGAAGCUAAACAA
rnacentral:misc_RNA from 1 species